rnacentral:rRNA from 1 species
UACCAAGGGGGCUAGCGUUGUUCGGAAUUACUGGGCGUAAAGCGUGCGCAGGCGGCUUCUCAAGUCAGGGGUGAAAGCCCAGAGCUCAACUCUGGAAUUGCCUUUGGGACUGAGUGGCUUGAGUACGAGAGAGGUGAGUGGAAUUCCCAGUGUAGAGGUGAAAUUCGUAGAUAUUGGGAAGAACACCGGUGGCGAAGGCGGCUCACUGGCUCGUAACUGACGCUCAUGCACGACAGCGUGGGGAUCAAACAGG